UGUUAUGUGGCUUAGUUUGUUAAAGCGCCGGUUGAGUGAAUAUGGAGCUGUGGGUUCGAAUCCCACCAGAACAC
rnacentral:tRNA from 1 species